rnacentral:rRNA from 1 species
GUGGGGAAUCUUGCGCAAUGGGCGAAAGCCUGACGCAGCCAUGCCGCGUGAAUGAUGAAGGUCUUAGGAUUGUAAAAUUCUUUCACCGGGGACGAUAAUGACGGUACCCGGAGAAGAAGCUCCGGCUAACUUCGUGCCAGCAGCCGCGGUAAUACGAAGGGGGCUAGCGUUGCUCGGAAUUACUGGGCGUAAAGGGCGCGUAGGCGGACAGCUUAGUCAGAGGUGAAAGCCCAGGGCUCAACCUUGGAAUUGCCUUUGAUACUGGCUGUCUUGAGUUUGGGAGAGUUGAGUGGAACUCCGAGUGUAGAGGUGAAAUUCGUAGAUAUUCGGAAGAACACCAGUGGCGAAGGCGACUCACUGGCCCAAUACUGACGCUGAGGCGCGAAAGCGUGGGGAGCAAACAGGAUUAGAUACCCGUGUAGUCC